rnacentral:rRNA from 1 species
GAUGAACGCUGGCGGCGUGCCUAAUACAUGCAAGUCGAGCGAACGGACGAGAAGCUUGCUUCUCUGAUGUUAGCGGCGGACGGGUGAGUAACACGUGGAUAACCUACCUAUAAGACUGGGAUAACUUCGGGAAACCGGAGCUAAUACCGGAUAAUAUUUUGAACCGCAUGGUUCAAAAGUGAAAGACGGUCUUGCUGUCACUUAUAGAUGGAUCCGCGCUGCAUUAGCUAGUUGGUAAGGUAACGGCUUACCAAGGCAACGAUGCAUAGCCGACCUGAGAGGGUAAUCGGCCCCCCUAGAUCUGAGACACGGCCCAGACUCCUACGGGAGGCAGCAGUAGGGAAUGUUACGCUAUGGGCGAAAGCCUGACGGAGCACCGCCGCGUGAGUGAUAAAGGUCUUCGGAUCGUAAAACUAUGUUAUUAGGGAAGAACAUAUGUGUAAGUAACUGUGCACAUCUUGACGGUACCUAAUCAGAAAGCCACGGCUAACUACGUG